CCUACGGGAGGCAGCAGUGAGGAAUAUUGGUCAAUGGACGCGAGUCUGAACCAGCCAAGUAGCGUGAAGGAUGACUGCCCUAUGGGUUGUAAACUUCUUUUAUAUGGGAAUAAAAUGUUCCACGUGUGGGAUUUUGUAUGUACCAUAUGAAUAAGGAUCGGCUAACUCCGUGCCAGCAGCCGAGGUAAUACGGAGGAUCCGAGCGUUAUCCGGAUUUAUUGGGUUUAAAGGGAGCGUAGGUGGAUUGUUAAGUCAGUUGUGAAAGUUUGCGGCUCAACCGUAAAAUUGCAGUUGAUACUGGCAGUCUUGAGUACAGUAGAGGUGGGCGGAAUUCGUGGUGUAGCGGUGAAAUGCUUAGAUAUCACGAAGAACUCCGAUUGCGAAGGCAGUUCACUGGACGGCAACUGACACUGAGGCGCGAAAGUGUGGGUAUCAAACAGGAUUAGAUACCCUAGUAGUC
rnacentral:rRNA from 1 species